rnacentral:sRNA from 1 species
UAUUCUGCCCCAUGGGGAAGGAUGAGAAGCUUCGACUAAGGUUCGACUCGAGCGAAGCGAGAGAAC